AGGUGGGGAAAGAAAUUAAAUGAAAACAAUGAAAUUAUCAGUAAAGACUUAAAGAACAUAAAACUCUAAUAUGAAACCUAAACUAGACUAAGGAACUACUGUAAAAGAAAGAACCUAAACUAAUAACAUUGCUACUGCAUAAUAACAAAACCUAAAACUAUAAAUGCAAAAUCUAAAAGAUGCAAUUAAACCUACAAAUGACCAAUAUGCAUAUGCUACACUACAAUAUGAAACUGAAAUACAUUGAACUAUGUUGAACUCUCAAGAAAUCAGAAAUGAAAUCAAUCAAAAUAAAGCAGUACCAAAAGUUAAAUCUAACCUAGUCUAACUGUCAUCAUAAAGCAAAUGAGAAUAAAAUUUAGAAUUUAAACAAAGCAAAGUCAGUUCCCAAAGUAACUAAUCUAAAGCAAGAUAGUAAUAUCAAAGAAGAAUUGAAUUCACAUGUAAAUAUGCAUUGAUGUGAAUAAAAGAGUG
rnacentral:lncRNA from 1 species